rnacentral:siRNA from 1 species
GCGCCUGUAGCUCAGUGGA